CAAGUCGAACGGGAUCCAUCGGGCUUUGCUUGGUGGUGAGAGUGGCGAACGGGUGAGUAAUGCGUGACCGACCUGCCCCAUGCUCCGGAAUAGCUCCUGGAAACGGGUGGUAAUGCCGGAUGUCCACAUGAUCGCAUGUGAUUGUGGGAAAGAUUCUAUCGGCGUGGGAUGGGGUCGCGACCUAUCAGCUUGUUGGUGAGGUAACGGCUCACCAAGGCUUCGACGGGUAGCCGGCCUGAGAGGGCGACCGGCCACAUUGGGACUGAGAUACGGCCCAGACUCCUACGGGAGGCAGCAGUGGGGAAUAUUGCACAAUGGGCGCAAGCCUGAUGCAGCGACGCCGCGUGAGGGAUGGAGGCCUUCGGGUUGUGAACCUCUUUUGUUUGGGAGCAAGCCUUCGGGUGAGUGUACCUUUCGAAUAAGCGCCGGCUAACUACGUGCCAGCAGCCGCGGUAAUACGUAGGGCGCAAGCGUUAUCCGGAUUUAUUGGGCGUAAAGGGCUCGUAGGCGGCUCGUCGCGUCCGGUGUGAAAGUCCAUCGCUUAACGGUGGAUCUGCGCCGGGUACGGGCGGGCUGGAGUGCGGUAGGGGAGACUGGAAUUCCCGGUGUAACGGUGGAAUGUGUAGAUAUCGGGAAGAACACCGAUGGCGAAGGCAGGUCUCUGGGCCGUCACCGACGCUGAGGAGCGAAAGCGUGGGGAGCGAACAGG
rnacentral:rRNA from 1 species